AACAUAAUGCCUUCAAUGCAUGCCUGUAUUGCGGGAUGGCCUACAUUGAGUCUCGCAGGCGCCGAGCUCCCGUAUUUUGCCCUCCCUUGCCCCCAUUUUUCUGGUGGGCCACGUGCGCGUUGGCUUACUGCGACUCUAGUUUUGGAGCGGUCUCCCCUCUCCAAUGCAGCCCGAGCCAGUCCAGCGGGGGCUCAGCAGAGCCAGAGCUCAUCCAGGGGUCCAGGGGCCACGGGCAAGGAUACGGCACCGACACGCCCAACCCAACGGCCGCUGUAGUCGGGCGUAACGGGACGGUGGACUCUGGAUGGACCCGCGUCCUCCACCGUGCACACGUCCUGCACACGACGGAGGCCUCCAAGGGCGCCUGCACCGAACCCUGGACGGGGCGCACUCCGUGCAGGGCACUGGCUACUGUACCUGGCUGCUGUUGCGCGACUUGUGUCUUCCCCCUCACUGUGGCCGGUUUGGCUGGUUUGGCGGUGCUGUUAUAGCUGUUAUGCUGGCGGGAACCACCAUCUCAUUUCCCAAUAUCUGAAUGCUGGCUUCUCUAUCUUAAAUUAUUAGCUUAACCAUUUGCAGUAGGCCUUUGGGCGACACUGGUAGAUUAAAUUGUGCACUAUGGAAGCAGAAGCACCACAGCUUGAUUCAUA